GGUGAGCGCAUGAGGACCCACACCAAACACAGCCUUUUGGUGAGGUGGUGUACAAACUGUGUGUUAAGGGUGGUGUACAAACUGUGUGUUAAGGGUCACUUUUUCGGUGUGUAUGUGACUUUUUUGGUGGCUGAGCCAGUGUGGUUUGGGCGAGGGAGGGACUGUUGCAGCAGUUGCGGCUUGUGUGUUUUGAGGGUUAGUGCGACUAAGUUAGUGUGACUGUCAGUAGACGUGGAGUGGUUAAGCGUUCAUGGCGUCAGCGUCGCUCUAAGGUAUCUUAGUAGAGCUCCAGCCACUCUAAGGUAUCUUAGUAGAGCUCCAGCCACUCUAAGGUAUCUUAGUAGAGCUCCAGCCACUCUAAGGUAUCUUAGUAGAGCUCCAGCCACUCUAAGGUAUCUUAGUAGAGCUCCAGCCACUCUAAGGUAUCUUAGUAGAGCUCCAGCCACUCUAAGGUAUCUUAGUAGAGCUCCAGCCACUCUAAGGUAUCUUAGUAGAGCUCCAGCCACUCUAAGGUAUCUUAGUAGAGCUCCAGCCACUCUGAGGUACCUUAGUAACCACGCUAAGGUAUUUUAGCAUUAGUAUUAGUAUUAGCCUAUAGCGGCUAUGGGAUUAGAGAGGUGCAGUAGUG